rnacentral:rRNA from 1 species
AACGAACGCUGGCGGCAGGCUUAACACAUGCAAGUCGAGCGCCCCGCAAGGGGAGUGGCAGACGGGUGAGUAACGCGUGGGAAUCUACCCAUCUCUACGGAACAACUCCGGGAAACUGGAGCUAAUACCGUAUACGUCCUUUUGAGAAAGAUUUAUCGGAGAUGGAUGAGCCCGCGUUGGAUUAGCUAGUUGGUGGGGUAAUGGCCUACCAAGGCGACGAUCCAUAGCUGGUCUGAGAGGAUGAUCAGCCACACUGGGACUGAGACACGGCCCAGACUCCUACGGGAGGCAGC